UUGGCCACUACACUGUAGUGUAUCAAGUCAUGAAAACCUAACCAUACAAGUAGGCUAUAAGCUUGACACACGUCUCCAAUAAUAAAUUGCAAGUUCAAUGCAUGCAACAGUAGCAAGAAAUUACCUUACUCUGAGCUUAUAAAUUUUAUGUUCUAACUUCAUACCUAUAUCCAUAUAGUGUUGAUACUUCAUUGUCAUUGUAACUAAUCAAUUAUGUAUUACCUUUCAGGGAUCUGUUUUUUGGUCCCAAGAAUGGUGAUUGUUCGCACAUUGAGCUAGCAAAGUCGAAUUCACGCAAACGUAACAGAGGUGGUGGUGAUGUGUACAGAGUUAUUGACAAGCGAGUACAUAGAACAGAGGAACAAUCUGACAAUGACAACAAUGGUGGUGAAGGUGAUGAUGAUUUCUCUGACAAUGGUGAUGGUGGUGACAAUGAUGGGCAGGAUGGACACAGAAAAUGACAAUUCCAAUGGCAAGGAUGAGUUACCUGCGGAUCAAAGAUCCCACAACUUAGUUUAAGGGAAUGAUGGGCGAACGUGGAGGAGUUGAUGAAGACAAUACUAAAUCCUAUAGGGAAAGGAUUAUUAUUCCACUAGCCAAGGACAAGCUAAGAUGGCUCCAUGGUCAUAUGAGAAGCGGAGUUUGUUUCUGUAGAUUGUGUGUGAUUUAUCUUUUACUUUCG